rnacentral:rRNA from 1 species
UACGAAGGGGGCUAGCGUUGCUCGGAAUUACUGGGCGUAAAGGGCUCGUAGGCGGCCAACUAAGUCGGAUGUGAAAUCCCCAGGCUUAACCUGGGAACUGCAUCCGAUACUGGAUGGCUUGAAUUCGGGAGAGGGAUGCAGAAUUCCAGGUGUAGCGGUGAAAUGCGUAGAUAUCUGGAGGAACACCGGUGGCGAAGGCGGCAUCCUGGACCAAUACUGACGCUGAGGAGCGAAAGCCAGGGGAGCAAACGGG